UAAUACGUAGGGUGCAAGCGUUGCCCGGAUUUAUUGGGCGUAAAGGGCGCGCAGGCGGCUACGCACGUCCGUUGUGAAAUCGCUCGGCUCAACUGGGCGGGGUCGGCGGAUACGGCGUAGCUGGAGCAAGCUAGGGGGCAAUGGAAUUCCCGGUGUAGUGGUGGAAUGCGUAGAUAUCGGGAGGAACACCAGUGGCGAAGGCGGUUGCCUGG
rnacentral:rRNA from 1 species